UAGAUUGAAGCCAGUUGAUUAGGGCAUUUAGCUGUUAACUAAAUUCUUAUAGGUUUAAAUCCUAUCAAUCUAG
rnacentral:tRNA from 1 species